GUGAAGAGGCCUUUGGGUUGUAAAGCUCUUUUGUAGGGGAAGAUAUGACUGUACCCUAAGAAUAAGGUCCGGCUAACUUCGUGCCAGCAGCCGCGGUAAUACGAAGGGACCUAGCGUAGUUCGGAAUUACUGGGCGUAAAGCGCGCGUAGGCCGUUGAGUUAGUUAAUUGUGAAAUCCCAAAGCUUAACUUUGGAACUGCAAUUAAAACUGCUCGACUAGAGUUUGAUAGAGGAAAGCGGAAUACAUAGUGUAGAGGUGAAAUUCGUAGAUAUUAUGUAGAACACCAGUUGCGAAGGCGGCUUUCUGGGUCAACACUGACGCUGAGGCGCGAAAGUAUGGGUAGCAAAGAGGAUUAGAUACCCUCGUAGUCCAUACCAUAAACGAUGAUUGCUAGAUGUUGGAAAUUUAUUUUCAGUAUCGCAGCUAACGCAUUAAGCAAUCCGGCUGGGGAGUACGAGCGCAACGUUAAAACUCAAUGAAUUGACGGGGGAACCCGUACAAGCGGGUGGAGCAUGU
rnacentral:rRNA from 1 species